UCCAUUUUUUGACCCCUUAGUUGACUCCAUGAGGUGGCAUGCACAGGUGGAUUUUAUUUUUUAAAUUAAAAUUAAUUUUAUUAAACCAUUUUACUUCAGAUGUGGCAGUUUUGGAGAGUGGGUGUGGACGUGAAAAUUGAAAGGGUGAGAAACACGUUUUGGAGAGUGGGUGUGGGCGUGAAAAUUGGAAGGGUGAGAAAGUAGGUUUUCUUUGGAGAGUGGGUGUGCGCAGAGGAAGCAAAAUUGAAAGGGUGAAAAGCUAGGUUUUCUUUGGAGAGUGGGUGUGCGCAGAGCAAGCAAAAACGAAGAAAGGGAAAAGAAAGAAAGAAAGGGAAAAGGAAGAAAGGAGAAAGGAAGAAAGGAGAAAAAGGGAGAAGACGUGUGUUGUAGUGAAAUCGAAGAAGACGAAGGGAGAAGACGAAGGGAGAAGACGAUCUUCCCAGAGUUAGGGCUUUUGUUGCUCUCCAUUGUUCGAUUCAACAUCGUGGUGAAUGACCACAACACUGUAAUCGAAGAAGAAAAAAGGAAAAGACAAAGCUUGCGAAGUUAGGAUUUUGGUGCUUUCAGUUGCUCGAUUCAGGCAGUGGUUGGUUGCUAUAUUCUGGCCUUUUGGGUACCUCAACAUCACACUUAGGAACAUUGUCAAGG